NAACUUUGACAUUGGGUAGUAUUCAUGGAAGGAUUGUCUUCUCAUCAAUGAGUGUGGUGAGCCGCUUCUGCCGUUUCUGCAGAUUAUGGUCGCCAUUACAAGAUGACGCUGGCUCCGCUGUGGUCUGUGACAAACAACUCCUUAUCUGGGAGAGUUGGCACAUGAUUUUUCACCACCCUGUGAGAAAGCUCCACGCGGCAGCUUUGCAUUGGGGCUUGGGAUGCUUUAUUAAGGCUGGGAGGGGCAUCAGAGAGAGAGAAGAAGAAAUAUCAAGGGCCUGAAUAAACUGUUGAAAGAAGAUUCCCGAGUUGCGUCUUCCUUGCGGGCAAGGGGUCGCGACAAAUGAGUAUAAGUUUUAUCCCGUUUUGAGGACAGUAUUUUUGAAAGAAUUUAAAAGAUUUAAUCCACGUUAAAUCUUAUGUAUUUCUAACCAGUUUAAUCAGUACUAUUUCCGAGUUGUAUACAACUUCAGAUAUAAGUAUGUCAUAUUCACAGUAAUUUAUCAAUUAAUCGGUUUAUGGACAUUUUUGUUGCUUUCAAUUUUGAUUAUUAUGAAAAAUGUGUACAAUUUUAUAUGAAAAUAAGUAUUCAUUUCUUCUGGUAAUUCAUACUAGAACUACUGGGUCAUAUGGUAAUUUUAUAUGUAUUAAGAUCUUCCAAACUGUUUUACAAACUAGUUGCAAAAUUUUUUGCAGCAUCCAAGCAACAUAAGAGAUCCAGUCUCUCAAUAUCAUUACCAGAAUUUGUUAUCACCUGUUUCUUUUAUUAUAGCCAUCCUAGUGAAUAGGAUUGUAGCUCACUAUGGUCAUGACUUGCAUUCCCAUUAUAGCUAAAGAACAUUACUUUAUGUGCUUAUUGGUCAUUCACUUAUCUUUUUGAGAGAACUGUCGGUUCCAAUCCUUUGUUCAUUUUUAAUCAGUUUAUUUAUAUUUUAAUUAUUGAUGAUAAUAUUUCACCAUAUUUUAUGGAUAUAAAUCUCAUCAGAUAUAUGAGUUGCAGAUAUUUUUAUAACAUUCCAUGUGGUUGAUUUUUUUAAUCUGUGGUAACUUUUGAAGCACAAUAAAAUUUUCUACAUUUGAUCAAACUGAACUUCAAUAAUCAACCUUUUCCAUACUGCAAGGUGAAAUCAUGUGAAGUUGUUUCUCUGUAGAAUGACUAUCUUCAAUUCAGCUCUCAUUUUUCAUAGUAUAAUUGUUUAGGAAGGUAUCACUUAAAGAACAAGUAUAAUUGUUUAGGAAGGUAUCACUUAAAGAACAAGUUCAAAAUUACAUUUCCAAAAAGAAAAUAGUAUGACAAUGAAUAAUAAAAAUGCUCUGAAUGUAGUUAAGAAAGAAUAAAAAGAGAAGUAAAACAGAAUGUGCACAUAGAAAAGAAAAUACAGAUUAAAAAGGCAGAAUUAAAUAUGAAUUUAAUUAAUUUAUUAUGAAUUUAAUUUAAUAUGAAGUUAAUACAUUAUGUCCUAGAAAACUUUACAGUACCUUAACAAUCUCUUCUCCUCCUCUCCUGAUCCUCUUCCUCUUAUAUAAUAGUCUUCCUGUUACUUUUAUAUUACAUCUCCCUGUCAGAUUCCACAUAUCAGGGAAAAUAUGCAAUAUUUUUCUGAUUUUUUAAAUUUAUUUCAUUUAAUAUUAGAAUUUCUAUUUUUAUCUAUUUUCCUACAAAUGAUCUAAUUUCAUUCUUUAUGGCUCAAUAAUACUGUGUCUGUGUGUGUGUGUGUAUGUGUCUGUGAUAUAUAACACAUUUUCUUUUUCCACUCAUUUGUUGAUGGAAACCUGGGCUGAUUCUAUAAUUUGGCCACUGUGAAUUGUGCCAUGAAGAGUGUAAGUAUGCAGGCAUCACUCUAGUAUGAUAAUUUUGAUUCUUUUCAGCAUAUACCCAACAUAGUAUACCUUCCUUGUAUGGUAGUUCUAUGUUUAGUUUUUUGAGGAAAUUCCACCCUCAUUGAAUACAUUGCUUUCCAUUUGCACCAAUAGUGUAUAAAUGUUCCUUUUUCCCUGCAUCCUUUGCCAGCUAUUAUUGUUACUUGGAUUCCUGAUGAUAGUCAUUCUGACUGGGCUGAGAUGGAAUCUUAGUGUAGUAUUAUUUUGCAUUGGUUAAAGAUGUUUAACAUUUUUUUAAAUAUAUUGUAUUAGUCAGAUUUUGUUGUUGUGACAAAAAUACCUGACAGGAAGAACUUAACUUAGACAAGGAAAACUUUAUUAUUAAUCAUGGUUUUAGAGGUUCAGUCCACCAUCAGCCAACUUCAUUACUGUAGGCCUGAGAUGAGGUUGAAAAUCACAGCAGAACAGCAUGGCAGAGGAAAGCUGCUCAGCUCAUGGCAAUCAGAAAUCAGAGAGAGGGAGUGACAGGGAUUCAGGGACAAAAUAUAUUCCCCAAGUUUACACUCCCAGUGAUCUACUUCUUCCAGCUACAUCCUGGCUACAGUUAUCACUAAGUAAUGCAUUCACUUCCAUUCAAAUGCAUUACUCCACUGAUGAGACUAUACCUCUCAUCAUCUAAUUAUCUCACUUUGAACAUUCCUGUGAUGUCACAUGAGCUAUGGGGGGGCGGGGGGUUAUCUAUAUUCAAACCGUAACAUGUCUGUUCAGCUCAUUUGCCUAUUUAUUGAUUGGUUUACUUGGAGAAUAUUAUGGUAUUAAGCCUUUUGAGUUCCUGCCUUUUGAUUUCCUUAUACAUUUUGAAUAUUAGUCCUAUCCAAAGAGGAGAGGGCAAAUGUUUAUCCUAUUCUGUAGUCUGCCUCUUCAUUGUGAUGAUUAUUUUAUUUACUAUGCAGAAGUAAUAUGCCUAGACAGAAUACUAUGCAGAUACAUAUGCCUAGACAGAAUAAGCAAGGGGAAAUGAUAUCAGAAAACAUGGCCAGUGUCUAACCCAUUUGAAUAUACUAGUACAAGAACAGAUUUGGAUUUUAUUCCACUUGUGAAGAGAAAUCAAAUGAAAAUUUUGAGCAUACAACUUCAUAAUUAGAUGUGUAUAUUUUAAAAAAUAUCAUUCUAGCUACCAGUUGGAAAAGAGACAAUAGAAGGUAGAAAUGAAGAGGAGAAACAGAGAAUGGUUAGGAAGCAUUGGAGCAACAUGAUAUGAUUCCUCUUUAAAAGCUUCAAGGUAAUCUUUCACAAAGUGUAUGCCUUCUCUCUCACUUAUUAGACUCAGAAUUACUCAUAAUUAUUUCCUCUGAUGGAAAGAAUUUUACUCACCUCUCUGAAAUUCCAUAGGAACUUUUGAGAUAUUUAUACAUCAGAACAUUCCAAUUUAAACCAAACAUAAUAUGGUAAUAAAAGCAAAAAUAUACCAUAUACAGGGCAAGUCUAUAAUAUUUAUUUUAAAUCAUCCAUAUAGCACUUUCCUAUGAAAAACUUUCAUUGGCUUCAUGUGCUUAGACAGAUUAACUUACUUUCAAUGUUGAUCCUUUUAUGUUUCACCUUUAGAUAUAAAGAGAAUGCUAUGAAGUUAUCAAGAAUUCAACAUGAUCAGCCAGUGAAGCCUCUGGAUCCAGCUGUCUUCUGGAUUGAGUAUGUCAUGUGCCACAAAGGAGCUAAACACCUCCGGGUUGCUGUCCAUGACCUCUCCUGGUUCCAGUACUACUCUUUGGAUGUGAUUGGGUUCCUUCUGGCCUGUGUGGAAACUGGGAUAUUCAUCAUCAGUAAAUGCUGUCUGUUUUGUUUCCAGAUGUUUUUUAAAUCGGGAAAGAAGAAAAAAAGGAAGUAAUUGUACCUAGGCCUGAAGCUGGGAAUCCUGAUAAAUGGCUCCUCCUGUUAACUUCCACAAGAGGAGGCUGUAUCGCUAGGUUUCUUACUUUUGCUAACAACUUUUCACAUAUCACUUUGUCAAGUCAAAUUUUGUCUCCAUAAAAUUCACUCCCUGUGUAAAAUACAGAAGUAUUUCAGUUCAAGGAACAACUAUUAGAGGAAAUAAAAUUAAACCAAAAGUUUAUGUUGCUAUUUAUGAUUCUAGUUUUGUAGCUUUAACUUCUCUGAAUAAAG
rnacentral:lncRNA from 1 species